rnacentral:rRNA from 1 species
GACGAACGCUGGCGGCGUGCUUAACACAUGCAAGUCGAACGGAAAGGCCCUGCUUUUGUGGGGUGCCCGAGUGGCGAACGGGUGAGUAACACGUGAGUAACCUGCCCUUGACUUUGGGAUAACUUCAGGAAACUGGGGCUAAUACCGGAUAGGAGCUCCUGCUGCAUGGUGGGGGUUGGAAAGUUUCGGCGGUUGGGGAUGGACGCGCGGCUUAUCAGCUUGUUGGUGGGGUAGUGGCUUACCAAGGCUUUGACGGGUAGCCGGCCUGAGAGGGUGGCCGGCCACCUUGGGACUGAGGUACGGCCCAGACUCCAACGGGAGGCAGCAGUGGGGAAUAUUGCCCAGUGGGCGGAAGCCGGAUGCAGCAACGCCGCGUUCGGAAUGACGGCCUGCUGGUUGUAAACCGCUUUCGCCUGUGACGAAGCGUGAGUGACGGUAAUGGGUAAAGAAGCACCGGCUAACUACGUG